rnacentral:rRNA from 1 species
UACAGAGGGUGCGAGCGUUGUCCGGAACCACUGGGCGUAAAGGGCGCGUAGGCGGUCUGGUAAGCGUGUGGUGAAAGCUCGGGGCUCAACCCCGAGUCGGCCGUGCGAACUGCUGGACUGGAGCAUGUCAGAGGCAGGCGGAAUUCCGGGUGUAGCGGUGGAAUGCGUAGAGAUCCGGAAGAACACCGGUGGCGAAGGCGGCCUGCUGGGACAUGGCUGACGCUGAGGCGCGACAGCGUGGGGAGCAAACAGG